ACUUUUGUCUCAGCCCGGUAUCCUGUUGAGUUUCAUUCGGAUUACUAUAUCCGUUUUAGACUUAGGACCGAAAUAGUGAAAGCCGAGGAGUCAAAACCUUUUUGAAGUUGCGCUUCUGGCGUAGAUGCUAUUAGGACACGUUCUACACUCGGAUCAUGAGGGACUAAUAGCUUGGAUUUGGAUUGGAUCUUAGGAUAGGAUUUGA